UUGUUGAACUUUUUCAUGAAAUUUUGGCAGUUUUCACGAGAUUUUACGCUUGGGAAGCCACGCUUAACCCAAUGAAAAUUUCUUGCAACUGCUCCAUUUUAGAGAUGGGGGAGAAGAAUUUAAGGCAGCAACAUUAUCAAUCGACUGUCGUGAUUACGUUAUCAUUCAAAUCCAAAGUUUAAUUCGGGCCUCGAGUUGUAAUGUUAUAGGAAGUGAAAGUACACAAAAAUAUCACUCGGUUUCAAGUAUGUGGGGUAAAUCUACGUGUGUAAGCAACAUGUAGUAUUUUUUUCUGUGUGAAAAAAAAAUUAACUUUUAACUUUAUGUAAACACUUAAGAAGCUAUUAAACACACAUCUCUCAUUAAGAAAAGGAUAGCUUAUCAGCGUUAACAUGCAUUAUCUUAUCAUCAUGUCUGCAUGUGUCGUUUCGCUUGAACGCACGUUUGCGCAUCCCUCACCUGGUGAAAAACUAAUUUUUCCCAAUAGACAACACAACAUGUCGUUAGACUCAGGUCGGAAUGCGUAUCCUUCCAAAGCACCAAAGAGCACGGGGAACUCUGGUGCUAGUCCUGAGAGUAUACAAGAUUUGGCCGCGGAUAAGGAUAAAUUCGGUUACAUCAUGUAUGCUGGUCGAAUUUUCUCCGCUCUGAACACCGAUCCAAGGUACAAAGAGAUGCAAGAGAAACUGAAAAAUCCAGAAUCGAGAAGUCGCGCACUACUUGAUUUUUUGGGAGCAAUGUCAAAUACUACGCGUACAAAACUGGACAAAAUCAAAGCGGAAGAGGCUCAAAAGUAUCUGAAAAAAUGCGAAAGUCCAAAGGAUGGGACGGAGCCUCCAAAGCCAGAUUAUAUUGACACGGAUCAUCCUGGGAAGUUCACUAUAAUAGAUUUAAGUCAAGUCUUUACUAAGUUUGCAAGCAUGCGAUCACUCAUGGAGAAAUUCUUGGGAGGACAAAAAAUGAAUUAACACGCUUGUCUUACCCUCAAUGUUGUUUUGGCGCUACCGUAUUUUUUGCUGUAACUGUUGCCGUAAAUAAGGAGGUUGGUUUCAAACGUCACAAAAUCAAUCAACAACAUCUUUUAGCUUGCAAAUCUUAUCUUUUUCAUCGCAAAAGAAAUUUUGGCCUCGACUUCAUUUUUUAAAGCGGUUAGGAAACACGUACUCGGACCUCGUGUUUUAACUUCUCUCCCGAAUCUGCGUGGCAUCUUAUUGGCAGCGUAGAGCAGAGCGUUACGAGGCCUCGCGGCAUCGCGCCUUCAAUUUUUCAGAUGCAACACGGACAUUCAUCAAGCACGAAUAGUUGUAUCUCUGCGCCGUCAUCAACGCGCGUCCUUUCCCUUAUUUUAUUUACUUAUUGUGUUUGUUUCUGAAGGGCUACGAGGACAACACAGCCGAAGAUAGAAGAGACGUAAUCGGGUCUCAUUUUUUAACUUUUCUCCCGAAUCCGAGCGAUACCUCAUUGGCUGCAUAGAUCGUGGCAUUAUGAGGAUACGCCUCACGCCAUCGCACUCUCAAUUUCGCGUAUGCAACGUGGACAUCCAUCAAACACGAAUAGUUGUGUUUUUGAGCUGACAUCGCCACGCGUUUCAGAGGAAGAUUUGAGGAGAGUUGAGAUUGAGUCGGCUCAAAAUAUACUGUGAUGUGUUCAAAUAAAUUAUCAUUUUGAAAAAAGAAAAAAUUAAAGGUAUCUCCAUCGCCUUGAAGAGAGCACGUUUAAAAAUUGGUAUAUUUGCGAGAGUUGUAUCAUGUGCCAGGGACUUUGAUUUUGACGACCACUCCUAGAAAAACCAAGCCGGGUCAAAUUGGCCCGACUAUUCCCACUGGGGAAGUUACAUACGUCGGUUGAGGAAGGAGGUGAGAAAGCAACAGUAUUUUACAAAAAGUUGAAAUUUUAAAUAAAAAGUAUUCAUUUUCCUUCAAAAACGUACUUCAAACAACAUUAACAAUACUUCAAAAACUUAUAUACAGCAAUUUAUUUAAAUACCGCUCACUUUGACCCGGCUGAGGACUUCGCUUUCGUUUAAAAAGUCGUGGACAUCAUCGUGCGAUCUGCUAAAGAAAGUCAGAGCGCCUGCAAUUCGUUUGGUAUGCAGCACGGACAUCCGAAGAACACGAAUCGUUGUAUCCAGACCUAGCCAUUCAAAAAGCCGGAACCAGGUCCCCCACACCCAUCGGUGGGCCCCCCUUUUAGUAAACUAUCUUAGGGGGGGUCUGGGGGGACCGCCCCCCAGUAGGAGGGGGGUUCGGGGGGCCACCCCCGAAAAUCUUUUAAAAUUUUGCCUCCAAUCUGAGUAAUUUCAUGCUAUUUCCGCACUUAUAUUAGUGUAUGCAAGAUUUUUGCCCUUUCAAAAUCUCAGAAUAAUUGCAGUUGUUUGAAAAUGUGUAAUGAGCCGUUAUAAAAAAAAAAAAAAACAAUAUUCGACGUAUAAUUUUUUUUAAAUAUAAAUAGAAAAAAACUUAUUUUAAAUAUAAGUAGGUCUUUAAUGCCUGAAGUAAACUAUUAAAUCAGUUCUGACGUGGGUAAAAUUUUACCUUUGAUGAAAGAGAAGGAAAAUAGAAGGAGAUAAAAACAUAUUAAAAAUUCAGCUUAUUGCACAAAAAAAUAUACAUCUGAAAUUAGAUGAGGACAAUGUUUUGGCAAAGGAUAGGCUAUCCCAAGGGCCGACGCAAGCCUGUCUGAGCCUCGAGCAAAAUCUCAAUUAACAAAAUUAUUUUACUUUUGCCGGCAGAUUGGUAAUACAAAUGGAUACUUUUGCGAUUCUGGGAGGCCCUACCGCCUACCGGGCCCCCCCAGGCCUUGGGCCCCGGGGCUGGAGUCCCAGCAACCCUCCCUAUGUGGGGGGCCUGGAACAUCUAAGGGUUCAUAAGUUGAACCUUUGGGCUGAACUCAUUUAUUUGUUUUACUUGUUAUACUUUUUACUUUGUUUUAUUUGUUAUACAUUCAAAAUAUACUUUAUUGGUAUCCUUA